GUAUCUGAGCUCAAAUUUUCAAGAACUUGGAGAGUGCAUGCGAGGGAUAUUGAUGGUGAUCCAGGUUGUGGGCGACUGAAAGGUGAAAUCGAUGGUUGGGAUGGGUAAAUGUUGGCUCAGAGGGAGGUUGUUGAACGAAACUGGUGAUAAACAUCUUGAGGGUCCUAAUCCUAGCUAGAUAUGCCGAUGGCCGACUCUAAGGCUAAAGAAGAUUGAGAAACCAUUAAAACUUUGUCCAUCACAGCCUUCUAUUGGCCUCCUUGUUUUACUCGCUAGUUGUCGAGAGGUCUUGACAAUGACUGCAUGUGCAUCAACGGUCCACACUACAGCCAUGAAGGGUGGAAGAUAGUGGCGUGCAGAUACAGGAGGCGGCACUCCUUCCUGCACCCCUUUUGGGGUUUCUGUUGGUGGGGGCUCAUCUUUUGGGGCUAUGAGGCUUGGGCUUUUCCGUUGGGUUGGAGAGUUGUAGUUUGGGCUGGGUUUGCUCUUGUUGCUAGACUUCUUGUUGUUCUCUUCUGUUUAGGAGGCCUAAGCCUUUACUUUAGGUUGUGGCUUAAGAGGCCCAUAUUAUAAUAGUUUUACACCUUAA
rnacentral:misc_RNA from 1 species